AGUGAGUCAAACUGGCUGUGUGGAUACAGUAUUAUGGGGCAGACUGGCUGGAUGGAUAGAUUAUUAUACGUCUAGACUGGCUGUUGGAAAGAGUAUUAUAGGGGCAGAUUGGUGGAUGCAUACAGUUUAGUGGGUCAGACUGGCUGGGUGGGUAGAGUGUUAGGUAGACAAACUGGGUGGAUUGAGUUCAGAGCGGCAGACUGACCAGGUGAUUAGUGUAUCAGUAAG